rnacentral:rRNA from 1 species
AACGAACGCUGGCGGCAGGCUUAACACAUGCAAGUCGAGCGCCCCGCAAGGGGAGCGGCAGACGGGUGAGUAACGCGUGGGAAUCUACCCAUCUCUACGGAAUAACGCAUGGAAACGUGUGCUAAUACCGUAUACGUCCUUCGGGAGAAAGAUUUAUCGGAGAUGGAUGAGCCCGCGUUGGAUUAGCUAGUUGGUGGGGUAAAGGCCUACCAAGGCGACGAUCCAUAGCUGGUCUGAGAGGAUGAUCAGCCACACUGGGACUGAGACACGGCCCAGACUCCUACGGGAGGCAGCAGUGGGGAAUAUUGGACAAUGGGCGCAGGCCUGAUCCAGCCAUGCCGCGUGAGUGAUGAAGGCCCUAGGGUUGUAAAGCUCUUUCACCGGUGAAGAUAACGACGGUAACCGGAGAAGAAGCCCCGGCUAACUUCGUGCCAGCCGCCGCUGUAACAC